CAAUAGAAGCCUGCUGUUUACCCUCAGGGAACAAGUAGUUUUCAAAAUUGAGCUCCUCCCAGGUCAUUGGCCAGUGCCUGUGUGCAGGCAUUGGUCAUCUUUGUGAACUCAUGGCAUUAUUUUCCCAUACGUAUUAUGAUAUUAAGAAAUUCAACCCCAACCUGUAUGAAAAGCACAGCCCAGGGUCCUACUUUUAGGCUAGAGUUAAUGCCUUUGAGAGGCCAGGGGGUCAUAGGAGGCCCAUGCAAUUUAACUGAAGCUCAGGUGCCGUGUUGGGUUUUUAUUGGUUUUAGGCCACAGCCUUCAGAAUGAAUUUAGGGCAGGGCUGCUGAUCCGGCUGUGGAUCCAGGGAGCUCUAAGAUGAAUCUCUACCGUUCCUUUAAAGGUCUUUCUGGUUCUUCCCAGUGUUGUCAUUGCCGAGGUCAAUCUCGUGGUUGUUCAGAUGUGCUCCUUUUUGCUGUCUUGUGAGUCUUAGCCAGCGAUCCAGGUGCCCAAGGACAGAGUCUCCAGAGGGCCUAGCUCCUUCCUGGUACCAAGUGUGUGAUCCUGACCUGUGUGAAGGCGGUCUUGUCAAAAGUAGUGAAAUGAGAAUUUCUGCAAAUGGUAAUCCGGAUGAUCAGCAUGUAUCCCUUGGGCCUGGACUUCCACUAUGUUAGUGAGUGUAGGAAAAUACUGUGUCUUUUAUGGAAGAAAAUUCAAUGUAUGCUGUGAAUUUGUUGGUUUGAAACAUUGAAAAUUUUUCAUUAGACAAUGUUUACAUACCUCACCUGAAGAACCUUUGAGAGUGUAUAUAUGAAAUUUAAAAUAUAUUAAGUUGCUUUAAAACAAUAUGUAUAGCUAUAAAAGUUGGAGUUAUUUUAACUUUGAAUAUGUACCAAGUCUCUUAAAUAUUGAAAUCUUGUGGACUUUUUGUGCUUCUGUGUUUUACUUUCCUAUUAGACCAUGUAGGAAACUGUGUUCUUGUUAUUGGUAAAGGGGCCCUCACUGAAAUCCAAGCUUGGAAGGAUUUCCUUUGUUGUUUCAGAUUUUCUAGUUUGGUUUUGAGGGUUGGGUUAUGGAGCUAGAGGAUGUGUGGGCGGGAUUUCUCUAACGUUGACAUCUAUUCCAUGAGCUUUUCCUAGGCGCUUAUUUUAUUGCAGCGUAUUAAACUUCUUUGAUAUUAAAGUGUGUUUGUGUAGUUACUGGAGAGGAGGGUACAGAACGCACUGAAGCCCAGCAUUCAACUUGUAGCCUACGGCAAAGUUGGUAAGUUGCCAGAAGGAGCCAAAAAGCAAUACUUCUUACUACUUUUGCCUCGACCACUGAUGUUGGGACUUAAAGGAACAUCGUUUGGUGGAUCUGUGGCCAUUUUGUGACUUAUGCCUAACUUCAGGGAAUAGAAAACACAAUGGAUGAUCCUUGGGAAUUCCCAUGGCAGAAUUGGGAAGAUGCCAGUGCUUCAUCCUGAGGUGCAAGGAGCAAUUGAAUCCGCGCUUCUGACCUCAGUAGGAAACCAGGUCUCUAUCCCUGCUGCUUUAUCAGAAGUGACAGUACAAAUGAUGGGCUGAAGGGCAUGUGCCCACUUGACUCAUUUAGUGGAAUCAGCCGAGGACGACGUCAAAGUGAACCGGAGUCUUU